rnacentral:rRNA from 1 species
GAUGAACGCUGGCGGCGUGCCUAACACAUGCAAGUCGAGCGAACGCACGAGAAGCUCGUUUCUCUGAUGUUAGCGGCGGACGGGUGAGUAACACGUGGAUAACCUACCUAUAAGACUUGGAUAACUUCGGGAAACCGCUGACAAUACUGCAUCAUACUUUGAACGGCUGGGUUCAAAAGAUAAUCACGGUUUUCCCGUCACUUAUAGAUGAUUCCGCGCUGCAUUAGCUAGUUGGUAAGGUAACGGCAUACCAAGGCAACGAUGCUUAGCUGACCUGAGAGGAUGAUCAGCCACACUGGAACUGAGACACGGUCCAGACUCCUACGGGAGGCAGCAGUGGGGAAUCUUCCACAAUGGGCGAAAGCCUGACGGAGCAAUGCCGCGUGAGUGAUGAAGGUCUUCGGGUCGUAAAGCCCUGUUAUUGGGGAAGAAAAGAAGUGUAAUAAACUGUGCACGUCUUGACGGUACCUAAUCAAAAAGCAACGGCUAACUACGUG